GACGAACGCUGGCGGCGUGCUUAACACAUGCAAGUCGAACGGAAAGGCCCUGCUUGCAGGGUACUCGAGUGGCGAACGGGUGAGUAACACGUGGGUGAUCUGCCCUGCACUUCGGGAUAAGCCUGGGAAACUGGGUCUAAUACCGGAUAGGAGCCAUUUUUAGUGUGAUGGUUGGAAAGUUUUUUCGGUGUAGGAUGAGCUCGCGGCCUAUCAGCUUGUUGGUGGGGUAAUGGCCUACCAAGGCGGCGACGGGUAGCCGGCCUGAGAGGGUGGACGGCCACAUUGGGACUGAGAUACGGCCCAGACUCCUACGGGAGGCAGCAGGGGGGAAUAUUGCACAAUGGGCGCAAGCCUGAUGCAGCGACGCCGCGUGGGGGAUGACGGCCUUCGGGUUGUAAACGCCUUUCGCUAGGGACGAAGCUUUUUGUGACGGUACCUAGAGAAGAAGCACCGGCUAACUACGUG
rnacentral:rRNA from 1 species